GGAAAUCUCACCAGGUCCAGACACAAUAAGGAUUGACAGAUUGAGAGCUCUUUCUUGAUUUUGUGGGUGGUGGUGCAUGGCCGUUCUUAGUUGGUGGAGUGAUUUGUCUGCUUAAUUGCGAUAACGAACGAGACCUUAACCUGCUAAAUAGCCAGGCCCGCUUUGGCGGGUCGCCGGCUUCUUAGAGGGACUAUCGGCUCAAGCCGAUGGAAGUUUGAGGCAAUAA
rnacentral:rRNA from 1 species